UACGUAGGGGGCAAGCGUUGUCCGGAUUUAUUGGGCGUAAAGAGCGUGUAGGCGGCCAUGCAGGUCCGUUGUGAAAACUCGAGGCUCAACCUCGAGACGCCGAUGGAAACCGCAUGGCUAGAGUCCGGAAGAGGAGAGUGGAAUUCCUGGUGUAGCGGUGAAAUGCGCAGAUAUCAGGAGGAACACCGGUGGCGAAGGCGGGUCUCUGGGCCGUUACUGACGCUGAGGAGCGAAAGCGUGGGGAGCGAACAGG
rnacentral:rRNA from 1 species